UGGGGUGUCGUCUAAUGGUAGGACACCGGUUUCUGGUACCGCACGUGGAGGUUCGACUCCUUCCACCCCAGCCA
rnacentral:tRNA from 1 species